UAUUUUAAUUGCUUUACAUAAUUAUUUAUAUUUCAUUUAUCAUUUAGAAUUUGUUUGUUUCACUAAGGAGUUGCUUGUUGAUACAUAGGUACUAGAGAGUAUACACUGCGCGUAACUUACUUAAACGUAACUCUAUAUAUCGACUGUAGAUGGCGCUAUAAUGCACAUAUUUGCAUUAAACAAUCCAAUAAGAUGAGUUGCGCGACGUUUGUUUGUAUCAGUGAGUGCACAUUCAUGUUCAUGUCAGGUCACGCACUCCGCGCAAUAUUAACACUUGAUUAUAUUUAUAUUUUUACAAAUUCAUAACGUAAUCCUAGUGAACUUAUUUUUGUUUCAAACCCAAAUUUUCAAACUUUUUACGAUUCACUACCAAAGCAUGCAUAUCUAUAAAUCAAAGAAAAGAUAAUAUUAAAGCUAAAAAAAUGCCAUUGUAAAUAUUUAGCCAUCAAGCCAUUUACCAGUUGUGUGCAGCCGUUCCCUUUUAUUUCAUUUUCAUUCUUAUAUCUGGUUUAAAUACAUCGAUAUCUCCUUUCUACAGUUAUUCCUGUCUGAUGUUUAAUAUCCAGGAAGCCACCGCGUCUAUUUAAACGCGUAGCGAAUGAAAACAUAAAAUCAUAAGCAUAUUGAUGGGUAAAAUGGUGGAAAAUAUAGAAAACAGGAAAAAAAACGCUGUUUGCUCUUUAAUAAUGUAAACAGUCACCGCUUACGCUUUGUAAUAACACUGCAUAUUCAAUGAGCUGAAUCGAUUUGCUUCCAACGCGUUGAUUUUUAUUUCGUACGAGGGCUGUGUCACAAAUAUAUUGUAACACUUUGUGAGAAAAGUGGGUGUUAAGAUGAGACAGUUAUGUAAAUAUUGAGAAUGAGCAAACAAUUAAAUGUUUUGUUCAUAAAACACUGCAGCAGAA